rnacentral:rRNA from 1 species
UACGUAGGGUGCAAGCGUUUGUCCGGAAUUAUUGGGCGUAAAGAGCUCGUAGGCGGUCUGUCGCGUCUGCUGUGAAAACUCAGGGCUUAACCCUGAGCUUGCAGUGGGUACGGGCAGACUAGAGUGCGGUAGGGGGAGACUGGAAUUCCUGGUGUAGCGGUGAAAUGCGCAGGAUAUCAGGAGGAACACCGGUGGCGAAGGCGGGGUCUCUGGGCCGUAACUGACGCUGGAGGAGCGGAAAGCAUGGGGAGCGAACAGG